rnacentral:rRNA from 1 species
GUACACUCCUGCGGGAGGCAGCAGUGGGGAAUAUUGCACAAUGGGCGCAAGCCUGAUGCAGCGACGCCGCGUGGGGGAUGAAGGCCUUCGGGUUGUAAACUCCUUUCGCUAGGGACGAAGCUUUUUUGUGACGGUACCUAGAUAAGAAGCACCGGCUAACUACGUGCCAGCAGCCGCGGUAAUACGUAGGGUGCGAGCGUUGUCCGGAAUUACUGGGCGUAAAGGGCUCGUAGGUGGUUUGUCGCGUCGUCUGUGAAAUUCUGGGGCUUAACUCCGGGCGUGCAGGCGAUACGGGCAUAACUUGAGUGCUGUAGGGGUAACUGGAAUUCCUGGUGUAGCGGUGAAAUGCGCAGAUAUCAGGAGGAACACCGAUGGCGAAGGCAGGUUACUGGGCAGUUACUGACGCUGAGGAGCGAAAGCAUGGGUAGCGAACAGGAUUAGAUACCCGGGUAGUCCCAUGAU